GCUAAAACCUCAGCCCUACCACAACCAAUGCAACAAUCAAAAUUAUCACACUAAAUAAAACAUUCUUACCAUUUAGUAAAGGCGAUCAAAAAAUGUCUAGGCGCUGUAACAACAGUACCGCAAGGGAAAAGUGAAAUAAAAAUGAAAUAAACUCUAAGCACCACAAAGCAGAGCCACCUCUCGUACCUUUUGCAUCAUGGUCUAGCCAGUUCAACCAAGCAAAACGAAUUUAAGUUUGACCCCCCGAAACCAGGUGAGCUACUUCAAAACAGCCUAUUAGGGCCAACCCAUCUCUGUUGCAAAAGAGUGGGAAGAUUUUCAAGUAGAGGUGACAGACCUACCGAGCCUGGAGAUAGCUGGUUAUUCAGAAAAAGGAUAUAAGUCCUACCUUAAGCUUCAUUUAACACAAAAUACUCUCUCAAGCUUAAGAGCUAUUCAAAUAAGGUACAGCCUAUUUGAAACAGGAAACAACCUAAAAUACUGGGUAAUUACCACAAGCACGUGAUCAAGUGGACCUAAAAGCAGCCAACUUCCAAAAAGCGUUAAAGCUUCGUCACUUAGCCAAUCAAUCCUACAAACAAUACAAAACCCAAACCCCAUACUGAAUGACUCUAUUACUAUAUAGAAAACAUCAUGCUAGAACUAGUAACAAGAAGAAGACCUUCUCCUACAUGCAAGCGUAAGCCGAUAAAGAACAACUCACCGGCACUUAACGUCAUUGACCCAAAAGCAACCACCCCCACAAGAAAACCCUGCUUCCACCAACGUUAACCUUACACCAGCGCAUUCCAGGAAAGAUUAAAAAAAGAGGAAGGAACUCGGCAAAUCCUUAACCCCGCCUGUUUACCAAAAACAUCGCCUCCUGCAUAUAUAGGAGGUCUAGCCUGCCCAGUGACAAAGUUAAACGGCCGCGGUACCCUAACCGUGCGAAGGUAGCGCAAUCACUUGUUCUUUAAAUGAGGACUAGUAUGAAUGGCAUCACGAGGGUUAAACUGUCUCCCCCUUUUAAUCAGUGAAACUGAUCUCCCCGUGAAGAAGCGGGGAUAUUUAUAUAAGACGAGAAGACCCCAUGGAGCUUUAAACUUAACACUACCUGCCAGCCCACAUAUCUAAUCAAACAGACAGAGCUAGAAGUUAGUUUUCGGUUGGGGUGACCGCGGAGUAAAACAAAACCUCCACGAUGAAUGACUUCCUCUAAUCAAAGAGCUACAACUCGAAGAAUCAACAAACUGACAUAAAUUGACCCAAUAUUACUUUGAUCAACGAACCAAGUUACCCUGGGGAUAACAGCGCAAUCCAUUUCAAGAGCUCCUAUCGACAAAUGGGUUUACGACCUCGAUGUUGGAUCAGGGUAUCCUAGUGGUGCAGCCGCUACUAAAGGUUCGUUUGUUCAACGAUUAAAACCCU
rnacentral:rRNA from 1 species